GACGAACGCUGGCGGCGUGCUUAACACAUGCAAGUCGAACGGAAAGGCCCUGCUUUUGUGGGGUGCUCGAGUGGCGAACGGGUGAGUAACACGUGAGUAACCUGCCCUUGACUUUGGGAUAACUUCAGGAAACUGGGGCUAAUACCGGAUAGGAGCUCCUGCUGCAUGGUGGGGGUUGGAAAGUUUCGGCGGUUGGGGAUGGACUCGCGGCUUAUCAGCUUGUUGGUGGGGUAGUGGCUUACCAAGGCUUUGACGGGUAGCCGGCCUGAGAGGGUGACCGGCCACAUUAGGACUGAGAUACGGCCCAGACUCCUACGGGAGGCAGCAGUGGGGAAUAUUGCACAAUGGGCGGAAGCCUGAUACAGCAACGCCGCGUGCGGGAUGACGGCCUUCGGGUUGUAAACCGCUUUCGCCUGUGACGAAGCGUGAGUGACGGUAAUGGGUAAAGAAGCACCGGCUAACUACGUG
rnacentral:rRNA from 1 species